rnacentral:rRNA from 1 species
CUUGGUCAUUUAGAGGAAGUAAAAGUCGUAACAAGGUUUCCGUAGGUGAACCUGCGGAAGGAUCAUUAAUGAUUGAACGUCUGUCGAGCUUGCUCACAGGCACAUCAUAUCCAUAACACCUGUGCACUUGUCGGAUGGCUUAGUGAAGACCGCAAGGUUGGAUCUAUCCAUCUACUUUACAUAACAAUUCUGUAACAAAUGUAGUCUUAUUAUAACAAAAUAAAACUUUCAACAACGGAUCUCUUGGCUCUCGCAUCGAUGAAGAACGCAGCGAAAUGCGAUAAGUAAUGUGAAUUGCAGAAUUCAGUGAAUCAUCGAAUCUUUGAACGCACCUUGCGCUCCUUGGCAUUCCGAGGAGCAUGCCUGUUUGAGUGUCAUGAAAACCCUCAACCUUAGAUUGGUUAUUUGACCUUUCUUUGGCUUGGAUUUGGACGUUUGCCGAUGUCAAGUCGGCUCGUCUUAAAAGUAAUAGCUGGAUCUGUCUCGCGACAUGGUUUGACUUGGCGUAAUAAGUAUUUCGCUAAGGACAUCUUCGGAUGGCCCUGUUGCAGGACUAAAGACCGCUUUCUAAUCCAUUGAUCUUCGGAUUAAUAUUCAUAACAUCUGGCCUCAAAUCAGGUAGGACUACCCGCUGAACUUAAGCAUAUCAAUAAGCGGAGGA